AACGAACGCUGGCGGCAGGCUUAACACAUGCAAGUCGAGCGCCCCGCAAGGGGGGCGGCAGCCGGGUGAGUAACGCGUGGGAACGUACCUUUUGGUUCGGAACAACUCCGGGAAACUGGAGCUAAUACCGGAUAAGCCCUAACGGGGAAAGAGUUAUCGCCGAAAGCUCGGCCCGCGUCUGAUUAGCUAGUUGGUGAGGUAACGGCGCACCAAGGCGACGAUCAGUAGCUGGUCUGAGAGGAUGAUCAGCCACACUGGGACUGAGACACGGCCCCGAAUCCUACGGGAGGGAGCAGUGGGGAAUAUUGGAAAAGGGGCGCAAGCGUGAUCCAGCCAUGCCGCGUGAGUGAUGAAGGCCUUAGGGUUGUAAAGCUCUUUUGUCCGGGAAGAUAAUGACUGUACCGGAAGAAUAAGCCCCGGCUAACUUCGUG
rnacentral:rRNA from 1 species